ACAUACCAUGGGCUUCCUGUGGUAGUGAAGCACGUGUACCCAUCAUGCCUCAGUGUCUCUUUGACAAGAAGGUGAGAAGAUGGCAGGUGGAGUGAUGCUUCUUGGUGUGGACAGAAACUUCGACCAUUACACGAGAUCAUCAAGGAUAUGAAGACUAGUUGAAUCUAUAAGUGUUGGUUAUAGAUGUUAUUUAGAAGAAAUUACACUCCAAAGCAAGUCAUAUUCUGACGUUAGCAAGACAUAUACAUUCUCCUACCAGGCCAGUGUUAUGCCUCAAGAGGAAAGCAACAAUGAUUACAGCAGUUAUGCCUACUAUGGAUCUAUUUCACUAUCAAAGGACUCAGGUGUCAACAUUUUAGAAUUUUAUAAUUUACACCAUUUUAGUCUAAACCUACUAUUAUUGGUCAUUAACAAAUUCUGUAUUCUGAUUGGCUAAGCUACUAGUGGUCUUUAAGGUUACAUGGGACACAAUUAGGUCAUUUUCUGAAAGCUUAAUAACUGAAAUUUUCAAGUUUAUCUCCGCAAUUUUUCGUAUAUUUCAUAGAUAUAAGGUAUCUCAGAAAAUUGAGGUGACUUUCAAAGUGUAACUUAUUCUCCCACUGCUUUGUGUAAAUGGAUUAUAUUGUCGUUGUAUCUUAAACUAAACGCGUUGAUCUAAAAAAGCUUGUYUCUAAUUUUCUUUUUGGCACUUAUUAUUUUGCACUUGUUAUUUUGAAAGGUUUUUACUUGGAUUCUCAUGGAAAAGAAUUUUGUUGUGAAAAAAGACCUUAAGGUUGCAUUCAUAAUGUAUGGCAGG